GCAUUGGUGGUUUAGUGGUAAAAUUCUCGCUUUCCGUGCAGAAGACCUGGGUUCGAUUCCCAGCCAGUGCA
rnacentral:tRNA from 1 species